CUCUCACGCGCUCUCCCUUUCCCUCUCCCUCUCCCUCUCCGCUCGCUCUCCCCUCACUCUCACUCUCCCUAUCAAUCUCUCUCAGAUAUUCUUUUCAAGCAUUAAGGUUUUGAUCUUUUUUUUUUUUCUCUUCUUUCUUGAAGCUGUUCGAGUGAUAUGCAGAGAUUGGGUGAAUUGCUCUUGUAAACUGCGGAAAAGACUCCCAACUCUACAUCUAUCAGCACCCGUUCUCAAUUACUUCAGCUCCUAGAGAUGAUUACCUGAGCAUCCACAUCCGGCAGCUGGCUGAUUGGACACGAGAGCUCACAAGGGUCUUCUCCGAGGUAUGUGAGCCUCCAGUAGCAGGUAAAAGUGGGCUUCUAAGAGCUGAUGAAACCACCAAGAAAAGUUUGCCAAAGCUCUUGAUAGAUGGGCCUUAUGGAGCUCCUGCUCAGGAUUAUCGUAAAUAUGAUGUCUUGUUACUCGUAGGAUUAGGAAUAGGAGCAACGCCUUUCAUCAGUAUAUUGAAAGAUUUGCUCAACAAUAUCAUAAAAUAGCAGAGCAAGCAGUGAGUAUAUUUUAGUCAAAGCUAAUGAAAAUGAAAAAAGGAAAAAAGUAAAAAAGAUGGAAAUAUAGUGGUAGGAAGAAUUUAUUAACCACUCGAAUUUGCUGUUUUUAGGAUUCCAACUCGAAUUUUAGCCAGGCAACUGAUUCGUAUGCUGGAACAAGCGAUUAGAGCUCUGUUAAUAAGAUGUCUCCAAAACGGAAGAAACCUUUAAAGACAACCAAUGCCUAUUUCUACUGGGUGACCCGGGAACAAGGUUCCUUUGACUGGUUCAAGGGUGUCAUGAAUGAAGUUGCUGAUCUUGAUCACAGGGUAGAAAGGAAGCUCAAUUCUUGAUCGAUAUAAUCCCUCUUCUACUCUUAUGUAUGAAAUAAAGGGCUAUUUAUUGAUGUUGGGAUUCUACUGUAAAUAAAAUGAAAUGACUAAGGGGAAUAUCCUAAGCAGGAGGAAUAUGGUACAACAGUAAAAAAUGAGUAAUGUUGCAUUAGGUGUAAAUUGUAAUUACCAAGUGAGAGAAUAUGGUGAUCUAUAAUUACCUGAAAUUUCAUUUACCAAACAUGAAAAGGAGUAUCAUAUCAUAGACAAUACCAAGAAGUUCCCAAAAAAUAAAAGACAUUGAAGUGGAAUAUGCAAAAGAACUCGAACUUGGUACCGAAGACCUAGAGAAAAAUCUUGCUCUUAUUCUGAAAAUUUUUAUUAGUUUGAUUAAACUAAGACAAUAUUCAUUAUCAUACAUAAGAGUAGAAGAGGGGUUAUAUCGAUGGGACCUUGACAUUUGGCUGCAUUGACCCAUGACAUCAACAACAGGGAUUGUUGGACCGAUGACCAUCUAUUUGUCCAGCUUUUUCAUGGGUAUUUACAUAUUUCCAACACUAUCAUUUUUGACUUGCCAUCUGCUAGCAUCCAACCUGUUUUGAUAAGAUUAGAUCCAAAACUGUUGUGACCCACAAAUAAUAAAAAAAAUGUUUAUAAUGGUCUUCCACCACUGUUUUGUAUGUUGUGGUCCACCUGAAACUAGUUCAAUCUUGUUUGGCUGUAUUUUCUCCACAAUUCAGUUUAUGAGGAUUCUUUUCAAAACAUGACUCUUAUUAGUGGCACAUGCAUACAGUGUAACAGGAAUACAGGACGGAGAAGAAAAUAUGGGGUCACACGGGCCAUAUUAAUUGUUUACA